ACGCUCGACACCUACGGAGGCAGCAGUCGGGAAUAUUGCGCAAUGGAGGAAACUCUGACGCAGUGACGCCGCGUAUAGGAAGAAGGUUUUCGGAUUGUAAACUAUUGUCGUUAGGGAAGAUACAAGACAGUACCUAAGGAGGAAGCACCGGCUAACUAUGUGCAAGCAGCCGCGGUAAUCUGAGCGGGCUGGCAAGGC
rnacentral:rRNA from 1 species